GACAGAGGGUGCAAACGUUGUUCGGAAUUACUGGGCGUAAAGCGAGUGUAGGCGGUUUGGUAAGUCGGAUGUGAAAGCCCCGGGCUCAACCCGGGAAGUGCACUCGAUACUGCGUAGCUUGAGUACUGGAGAGGUUGGUGGAAUUCUCGGUGUAGAGGUGAAAUUCGUAGAUAUCGAGAGGAACACCGGUGGCGAAGGCGGCCAACUGGACAGAUACUGACGCUGAGACACGAAAGCGUGGGGAGCAAACAGG
rnacentral:rRNA from 1 species